UACGGGAGGCAGCAGUGGGGAAUAUUGCACAAUGGGCGCAAGCCUGAUGCAGCCAUGCCGCGUGUAUGAAGAAGGCCUUCGGGUUGUAAAGUACUUUCAGUCGUGAGGAAGGUGUUAAGGUUAAUAACCUUAGCAAUUGACGUUAGCGACAGAAGAAGCACCGGCUAACUCCGUGCCAGCAGCCGCGGUAAUACGGAGGGUGCGAGCGUUAAUCGGAAUUACUGGGCGUAAAGGGCACGCAGGCGGUUAAUUAAGUUGGAUGUGAAAUCCCCGGGCUUAACCUGGGAAUGGCAUUCAAGACUGGUUAGCUAGAGUCUUGUAGAGGGGGUAGAAUUCCGAUGUGUAGCGGUGAAAUGCGUAGAGAUGUGGAGGAAUACCGGUGGCGAAGGCGGCCCCUGGACAAAGACUGACGCUCAUGUGCGAAAGCGUGGGGAGCGAAACAGGGAUUAGAUACC
rnacentral:rRNA from 1 species